UUUUGAAGCGAGUUAUGCGCCUUUAAAGUUGGAGGCGAGACGGCAGAGAUGCAGACAGUCGUUUUCUCUACCGUCUCUCACUCUCUCACCUCCAACUUUAAAGGCGCGUAACUCCCUCCAAAA
rnacentral:sRNA from 13 species